GGCUUGAUGGUGUAAUGGUAACAUAUCCUCCGCAAAUAACUUCAAAGUGAAAGCUUUAUGAGGAAGUUUCUUGUUCGACUCAAGGUCAGGCCA